rnacentral:lncRNA from 1 species
GUUCUCUGUUUAUUACAGAGCAAAAGAAGGGAGGGGAAGAGUGAGCGAAUGAGGGAGGGUGGAACAGAGGUAGAGAGAUUCACACAGCAUAGCCAUCACUGGGUAGACAGCAUCCUUCCGAAACACACUCACGAGCAAACAAAAAGAGGCUAAACACAUCAGAAUCCUUUCAGACGACAACAGAACACAGUCCUUCAACAGAGAUGGGGCCCGGAUUGUUCUGGAACUUCCCAUCCAAGACUAGCUGCGCGGUUCCACAGAGCCUGCUGCAGACAAUGUUGCUCUCCAGGAUGGCUGGCAUAAAGGAUCAGCAGUUCACUGAAGAGAAACCGCUACUGCCAGAAUCCAGGGGACAGGAAACAGAGAUGGCUAAAGGACAGUGUGUGCACGCGCUGCCCUGUGCUACGCCAUCCCCCCCCACGGCUCGCCCCCCAAAACGCUGGCAUGCCAUCGCCCAACACUGGCUCGGCCUGACACGCCGUCGGACCAGCGGGUACUUCCCGGUAGGCUAAUUACCGCACAGAGCAUGUCCACGCUUCCAACUAAAAGAUAGUCAUUUUUCUCAAGUCCUUUGUUACCAUAUCUCUGUUAGAAAAGACCAAACAAGGCCUAAUAUUUUCUCUCUCCCCAAGUCUCAUUCUCUAAAAACCCAUUCUGUUUCACAUAGCCUACUGUCUGAUUUGGGGAAAAAUUACAGAUUUGAAAUUGUGAUGCAACAUAAAAAUGUUCUUUUUGGCACAAUGUUUAUAUUUAAACACACUGCUAAUUAACAG